rnacentral:rRNA from 1 species
AGUCGAGCGAACAGAUAAGGAGCUUGCUCCUUUGACGUUAGCGGCGGACGGGUGAGUAACACGUGGGUAACCUACCUAUAAGACUGGGAUAACUUCGGGAAACCGGAGCUAAUACCGGAUAACAUUUGGAACCGCAUGGUUCUAAAGUGAAAGAUGGUUUUGCUAUCACUUAUAGAUGGACCCGCGCCGUAUUAGCUAGUUGGUAAGGUAACGGCUUACCAAGGCGACGAUACGUAGCCGACCUGAGAGGGUGAUCGGCCACACUGGAACUGAGACACGGUCCAGACUCCUACGGGAGGCAGCAGUAGGGAAUCUUCCGCAAUGGGCGAAAGCCUGACGGAGCAACGCCGCGUGAGUGAUGAAGGGUUUCGGCUCGUAAAACUCUGUUAUUAGGGAAGAACAAAUGUGUAAGUAACUGUGCACGUCUUGACGGUACCUAAUCAGAAAGCCACGGCUAACUACGUGCCAGCAGCCGCGGUAAUACGUAGGUGGCAAGCGUUAUCCGGAAUUAUUGGGCGUAAAGCGCGCGUAGGCGGUUUCUUAAGUCUGAUGUGAAAGCCCACGGCUCAACCGUGGAGGGUCAUUGGAAACUGGGAAACUUGAGUGCAGAAGAGGAAAGUGGAAUUCCAUGUGUAGCGGUGAAAUGCGCAGAGAUAUGGAGGAACACCAGUGGCGAAGGCGACUUUCUGGUCUGUAACUGACGCUGAUGUGCGAAAGCGUGGGGAUCAAACAGGAUUAGAUACCCUGGUAGUCCACGCCGUAAACGAUGAGUGCUAAGUGUUAGGGGGUUUCCGCCCCUUAGUGCUGCAGCUAACGCAUUAAGCACUCCGCCUGGGGAGUACGACCGCAAGGUUGAAACUCAAAGGAAUUGACGGGGACCCGCACAAGCGGUGGAGCAUGUGGUUUAAUUCGAAGCAACGCGAAGAACCUUACCAAAUCUUGACAUCCUUUGAAAACUCUAGAGAUAGAGCCUUCCCCUUCGGGGGACAAAGUGACAGGUGGUGCAUGGUUGUCGUCAGCUCGUGUCGUGAGAUGUUGGGUUAAGUCCCGCAACGAGCGCAACCCUUAAGCUUAGUUGCCAUCAUUAAGUUGGGCACUCUAGGUUGACUGCCGGUGACAAACCGGAGGAAGGUGGGGAUGACGUCAAAUCAUCAUGCCCCUUAUGAUUUGGGCUACACACGUGCUACAAUGGACAAUACAAAGGGCAGCUAAACCGCGAGGUCAUGCAAAUCCCAUAAAGUUGUUCUCAGUUCGGAUUGUAGUCUGCAACUCGACUACAUGAAGCUGGAAUCGCUAGUAAUCGUAGAUCAGCAUGCUACGGUGAAUACGUUCCCGGGUCUUGUACACACCGCCCGUCACACCACGAGAGUUUGUAACACCCGAAGCCGGUGGAGUAACCAUUUAUGGAGCUAGCCGUCGAAGGUG